GACGAACCACACGAACGUUAUUCGGAAUUACUGGGCUUAAAGGGUGCGUAGGCUGUGCGGAAAGUUAGGUGUGAAAUCCCCCGGCUCAACCGGGGAAUUGCGCUUAAAACUACCGUGCCCGAGGAAGACAGAGGUGAGCGGAACUUCGGGUGGAGCGGUGAAAUGCGUUGAUAUCCGAAGGAACACCGGUGGCGAAAGCGGCUCACUGGGUCUUUUCUGACGCUGAGGCACGAAAGCCAGGGUAGCGAACGGG
rnacentral:rRNA from 1 species